AAUGAACGCUGGCGGCAGGCCUAACACAUGCAAGUCGAACGAGUGGCGGACGGGUGAGUAAUGUCUGGGAAACUGCCUGAUGGUGGGGGCUAACUACUGGAAACGGUAGCUAUUACCGCAUAACAUCAGACUUGCUCUUAUGGGAUUAGCUAGUUGGUGGGGUAAAAGCCUACCAAGGCGACGCUCCGUACCUGGUCUGAGAUGAUGAUCAGUCACACUGGAACUGUGACACGGUCCUGACUCCUACGUGCGGCAGCAGUGGGGAAUAUUGGACAAUGGGCGAAAGCCUGAUCCAGGCAUGCCGCGUGUGUGAAGAAGGUCUUCGGAUUGUAAAGCACUUUAAUUUGAGAGGCGUUACCAACAGAAUAAGCACCGGCUAACUUCGUGCCAGCAGCCGCGGUAAUUC
rnacentral:rRNA from 1 species